AAAAAAACAAACCCUGAUUUUUCGUGUCCAACGUUUGAUCGUACGUCUUAUUUAAAAAAAUUAUGAAAAAAAUUAAAAAGAUAAGUCACGCAUAAAGUAUUAAUCAUGUUUUAUCAUCUAACAACAAUGAAAAUACUAAUUAUAAAUAGAUUUCAUAUAAGACGGACAGUCAAACGUUGGACACGGAAACUCAGGGUUUGUCUUUUU
rnacentral:pre_miRNA from 1 species